rnacentral:rRNA from 1 species
GACGAACGCUGGCGGCGUGUCUAAUACAUGCAAGUCGAACGCUUCUUUUUCCACCGGAGCUUGCUCCACCGGAAAAAGAGGAGUGGCGAACGGGUGAGUAACACGUGGGUAACCUGCCCAUCAGAAGGGGAUAACACUUGGAAACAGGUGCUAAUACCGUAUAACAAUCGAAACCGCAUGGUUUUGAUUUGAAAGGCGCUUUCGGGUGUCGCUGAUGGAUGGACCCGCGGUGCAUUAGCUAGUUGGUGAGGUAACGGCUCACCAAGGCCACGAUGCAUAGCCGACCUGAGAGGGUGAUCGGCCACAUUGGGACUGAGACACGGCCCAGACUCCUACGGGUGGCAG